AUAACUGGUAUAUAUAGCACUCCUAUUCAAUUAAUAAUUGAGAAGUUGAUUUUCUAUAGCUGACCAUACACCAUCCAGAAUUUGGAUUUUACGAUCAUAUUAUCAUUUAUUUAACAAAAUAGAGGUAUAAUUUCGUACUUAGUUACAUGGAGAGUUAGAUGAAUAAACCAACACACAAUGCGAAAAUAAGUAAAUCUCAGGUUACUAAAUGGGAAGUGAUAAAGAAUUGUCAAUAUACUGACAAUCGCUUGUCAAAAAUAACAACUUUAUAUGUGAUUAAGGUGACUCAAUUGCCAGAUCUUCAUACAGAAGAGCAACUUGAAGCUAGUACCACUUUAGUAAGAAUAAGUGUAGCAGGUGAAAAUAUAUUUUUACACAAAGCUGUUGCUAUUGAAAUUAUGAAAGAGAUUUUUCCAUAUAAAUUUAGUAGCAAAAAAAAGAAUAAUAUAUCCAGGUUAGAAGAUUUGUAUAAUCACUUAUGUUCUAUUGUUAGUAAUAGCCUUCCAAGGGAGAUACUUGAAAGCUUAAUAAAAGAAUAUAGGAAUUCUGUUAACCUAUUGAGAACAAUUAUUUAAUACUUUAUUUUCUAUUUCAGAAAUACCACUUUCAAGACUUUUAUCUAUUAAACAUAUUGUAGUUAUGUAUAUUUGCCGACUUUUUUCAACAUUAAUAGUUAAAGUUCCUGGAGUAAUUGUAACUGAAUUAGCAAAUAGAGUAAUAUUCUUGUCAUUAUGACCUUUACACUUUUUUAAAAUAAUAACCGGUUCAAGCUGAAGAUCAGACUGCAGCACCUUUUUUGUUAAAUAAAUACUUGAUAAAAUAAUCUGGUACAUUAGCCAUGGUAUAUAACUUACUAACCCACAGAAUGAUAGCUUCUUUGUGCUGCUUAAGAUACGAUUAAGGGAAUCCUCAGCACUUAUUAAUCGUUUAAAAAUAAAAAGUGUAAAUGCAGAUGAGAAUAGUCCACACAAGACGAAAAAAGAUUCAGAGUAGCCAGACAAUAUAGCCCAUAAGAUAAACAAAGUGAUAAAAGAUAGAGAAAUGAACUUUAUUUCUUGUUUACAUUUGUAGCUUU